CGGCCCCUGCCGUGCGCGUGAUCGGCGGGCGAGUUUGAGCCAACACGCGGAGAACGGGGUCCCGCCCUGGCGGCGGUGAGCGUCCCGAAGCACCGGGAUGCCUGAUGCCGCCACAUGGGAGCCCACCUGGUGAAAGCCAGGUUCAACUCCAACGCCGACACGACACAGGCAGGGGCGCU
rnacentral:other from 1 species